AUGUUCUCUGUAGCUCUGCUGCUGUUGGCUGCUGGAUCCUGUGUGAAGUGUCAACAGUUGACACAGCCAGCCUCUGUGACUGUGCAGCCAGGUCAACGUCUGACCAUCACCUGUCAGGUCUCUUAUUCUGUGGGCAGCUAUCCCACAGCUUGGAUCAGACAGCCUGCAGGGAAAGGACUGGGGUGGAUUGGAUAUAGCUGUGCUGGAUGCACCACAUCUUACAAAGAUUCACUGAAGAACAAGUUCAGUAUCAGCUUAGACUCUUCCAGCAAGACAGUGACUCUAAACGGACAGAAUGUGCAGCCUGAAGACACUGCUGUGUAUUACUGUGCCAGAGAGCCACAGUGACACAAAGCAUCA